UUUUUUUUUUUUUUUUAAGAUUUUAUUUAUUUAUUAAUGAGACACACGGGGGAGCGGGGGAGGGCAGACAGGUAGAGGGAGAAGCAGGCUCCAUGCAGGGAGCCCAAUGUGGGACUCCAUCCUGAGUCUCCAGGACCAGGACCUGGGCUGAAGGCGGUGCUAAACUGCUGAGCCACCUGGGCUGCCCUAUAUAAGGACUUCUGAUUCUGAUAAUGGUAGGCUACAAAAUCUCAAUUUCCCUCCCUGAGGUCAACUAAAAACGUUGGAUUAAAAAAAACAAAAGCAUCAUAUAAGCAACAAAGAAAUAGCAAGAUAGUAAAGAAUUAUCUAGUCAAAUUAAGUGAAGAUAAGAAACCCUGUGGGGCCACCCAGUAACAAAGCCUUUUAUUUUUGCCCAGAGGACAUGUCCUAUCUGGAAGAAAUAGCUAUGAAAGUAAGUUGCAAUUUUGAUGGCUGCAUGGCUGCACGGAGCUCAUAGAACAAAAUUAAAUUCACAACAUAAAAGGUGAACCAGAGGUAUAUGAACUUUCCCAUGAUCUAGCUCUUAUAGAGAACCUGACUUUGGGUCAUCUGGUAGACCAGGAAAAUACAAAUCUUGAAAUUGGGUUUAAGGUGUUCUAAACUGGUAGAACUCCUACUCAGCUGGCAGAAGUAAAUGAAAAUUCUAUGGGAAAGAUACUAUCCUAGGCUUCAGAACAGUUCUAGAAUUGUUUCCAAAUAUAAUGUCUAGCAUACUGUUAAACACCUAGGCACAUAAGAAAAGCAGAUACUAUGAACAAGAAACAGGAAAAGCAACUAUCAAUAAGCUCAAACCCAGAGUUAUUUGGAAUUAUCAGAAGGAGAAUAUGUAAAUAACUAUGUAGGCCACAUUCAAGGAAAUAACAGCCACAUAGGCUACUAGAAACAAUAAAAAGCAUAUCUGAAAAAGAACCAACAGAAAUUUUAGAUCUGAAAAAUAUUACAAUCAAAAUUAAGACUUCAGUAAAUAGGGUUUAGUAGUAGCUGAGAAAAUGACUAAAUUGGAAGAUGGGUCAGAAGAAAUUACCUGAAAUGUAGCACCAAGAUAGAAAACUGAGAAUAAAUAGUAAAAAACCUAGAGAACACAAUGAGAAGGAUUUAAUAUACAUUUAGUUCCAAAAGAGAGAAUGAGGCAGAAGAAAUAAAUAGCUGCGAGACAAUAGCUAGGAAACUUCUAAUACCCAGCAGAGACCCCAAUUGACAAUAAUAAAAAAGGAAUUCCCAUCCAUAUAGUAAAACUUUAGAAAACUACAUAAAAUCAAAUAAAUAUAUUAAAAGUAUCAGAAAAUACAGAACAGCUUGUUUUAAAAUGGGCAUCAGCUGUACUUGCAGGAAUAAUGAGAUGACUUAUGGCUGGGGGCCCCAAAAUAGCUUCAGGAUGGGAGCUGGUCACUGAAACAACCAAGGCAUGAUUAGAAGACUGCAACUUUUAGCACCUCUCUCCACCAUCCCCUACCUUGGCCCUGCUAAGACCUUCAGGGACUUGAGAUUGAAUUUAAUCACCAAUGUCCAAUGAUUUAAUCAAUCAUGCUAUGUAACAAAAUUUCCAUAAUGACUUAUAAGCAAUGGGGUUCAAAGAACUUCCAGGUUGGUAAACAUAUGAAGAUGCUGGGAAGAUGAUACACUCGAGAGGACAGGGAAGCUCCAUGCCACCGUCUCUCCUGCAUACCUUGCAAUCUCUUUCCAUUGGUUUGUUCCUGAAUUAUGUCAUUCAUUCAUUCAUUUUUAAAGAUUUUAUUUAUUCAUUUGAGAGAGAAUGCAAGGGGUGGGAGAGAGAAGCAGAGGCAGACAGGGACAAGCAUGCUAAGUGCAGAGCCUGAUGUGGGGCUCGAUCACAUGACCCUGAGAUUAUGAUCUGAGCCAAACUCAAGAGUUGGAUGCUCAACCAACUGAUCCACCCCAGCACCCCCUUAGUUAUGUCCUUUAUAACAAACUUGCAAAGUCAAGGAUCUUCCUGAGUUCUGUAGGCUCUUCUAUCAAAUUAUUGAGUUUGAAGAGGGUGUUGUGGGAACCCCCAAUUUACAGCCAGCUGGUCAGAAGUACAAAUGACCUGAUACUUGAGACUGGCAUCCUGAGGUGUAGGCAGUCUUAUGAGACUGAGUUCUUUAGCCCAAGGAGUCUGCUGCUAAGUCUAGGCAGUUAAUGUCAAAAUUGAAUCCAAUUCCUAGAUACCCAGAUGAUGUCUGGAGAAUCAGAGAAUUGGUUGUUGGUAUUGGAAAAUGCUCCAGAUCUAGUAUUCAAAGGUUAGGCUACACAAUGCACCACUCAAAUUUAAAACUGGGAAAGUAGUAUAUAUUGUAAUACACACAAUCUCA
rnacentral:lncRNA from 1 species